AACGAUUGGCGUCUCGCGUCUGUCUGCGCUCUCCAUGAAUGUGAAGUGAAUGAAAGGGGCACUAAUAUUACAAUAUCCGCACCAACGGCUCUCGCGAGCAUUUACAACCAGGAAAAAAAUGCUAACGCAGAACCUGAACGUGGUCGCUCGUCCAUCUCUAUUCCCAGUUUCUUCUUUUGAUUGCCACGGUGAAGCGUCUAAACAGUUGAACAUUUUAAAUUUUGGACUUGCUAGAGCAAGAAGAAAACUCAAGGUUACUCAACUCAAGGCAAGCUUUUGGGACUCCAUCCGAUCUGGGUUCUUGAAGGAGAACUCAACAGAAGUCAUUGAACCUUCAUCCACACUAACAGAAGAGGAAGAACCACUUCCUGAAGAGUUCGUACUUGUAGAAAAAACUGAACCAGAUGGAGCAAUUGAACAAAUAGUAUUCUCUUCAGGUGGAGAAGUUGAUGUGUAUGAUCUUCAAGCCCUAUGUGAUAAGGUAGGCUGGCCUAGAAGGCCACUGUCAAAAUUAGCUGCAGCUUUGAAAAAUAGCUACAUGGUGGUCACAUUGCAUUCCUUAAGGAAAUCACCUGGAUCAGAGGGGAAUGACCAAAAGAAGCUGAUUGGCAUGGCUCGUGCUACAUCUGAUCAUGCCUUUAAUGCUACCAUUUGGGAUGUUCUCAUUGAUCCUAGUUAUCAGGUAAAAUCAGUGUUCCUGGAAAUCACCAUUGCCCCUGGCAAUCACACAAUCCAGGUUUUAUAUAACAAUCUGGAACAUCAAAAUUAAAGUUAUGACAUGUUAACGAUAGUGGGCAGAGAAUCAAACAAUCUGUGUCACAGAUUUUAGUUAAUUUCGUUAUUAUAAUGCUACAAAUUUUGGGAUUUGGAUUUUCUUUAUAGCAUUUAAGUAUUUACAUGGAAACUAAUUUAUUAUACUUAUGGGAUAGUGGAAAAUCUAUGGUUUAUUUUUAUUUCUUCUGGAAUGGUAUUUGUAUACAUUACAUUGUAUGUAAUGUGGAACAGAUUAAGGGGGUGUCUGGUUCAACUUUUGGAUGUAAAUGAUAGCUGAUGGACACCUAAACAGGUGAACUGAAAUGUUUGGCAAUCUUAAAAAAAUAGAGUUGAUAGCUGAUAGCUAACUGAUAUGAUAACCAUCGGCUGCAGUUUGUAUCAGCUUUAAAAAUAGAGUUGUUUCCCAUUAGCUGAUAGCUUAUUUGAUUUUAUUUUUUAUUUAGACUAUAUUAUCCUUUCUCAUGUAACUCGAAAAUUAAUAUUAUUAAUUUGCCUUUAUUUUUUUCCAUUUACAAUCUUAACACCUUAUUUAGCAUUUUGCAAUUUUGUUAAAAUAUUUUUUAUUAAUAACAUAAAAUAUAAAAUACUUAUUUAUUACGAAAAAAUAUAUUUUUUUUCUAAAAACUUAAACUUAUAAGAUUUUCUUUCUCUAUCAACAAUAAAAUUACUGUAUUAUUUUAUAACUACAUUUUUAAAAUUAUUUAUUUUUUAUAAAGAAUUUAAUUAUUUUCUUAUUUCAAUAAUAAAAUAAAUAAUAUGAUAUAAUACAUUAUUAAUUAUAUUUUUAUAUUUUAAUAAUAUAAUAAAUGAUAUAAUAUAUUAAAUUAAUAAAAUAAAUAAUAUAAUAUAAUAAAUUUAUAAUUUUAUAUUUAUUUUUAUAAUAGAAUAAAUUAUAUGAUAUAUACUCUUAUUAGUCAUUUUACAUAUUAACAAUAGCAACAGCUAAACAUAAUUUUAUCAAAUAUUUGGCAUAAAUCAGCUAUCAUCAAUUAUCAGUUAUCAGCUAUAAAUUAACAGCUAUUAGUUGCAUCCAACAGUUAAACUAAACAGGCCCUAAGUAACCAACCUACUAAUGUUUUUAUGGAGGGCAAAAUUCAAGCAGAUAACACAUGGAAUCAAGUUUUAAAGAAGGGAGAUUAGGGUUAUUAAUCUUAUCUGCAUGAGUUUUUCUAACCUAUUAAGUGUUUUAGGUUUCAGAUAAUUGUAUUUUGUUCUUAUUAAGCAAUCCAAAGAGCACAUUUUGAAGACCAUGAUGCUUGUUUUCCUGUUUUUGUUCCAUGUACUGGAGCGAUUUGUGAUCAAGAUAACUUUGCUUUGAACAUGGACAAACUUGAAGAUGGUUUACUAGGCGGAUUACAUUCCCAUCGUCAUUGUAGCUUUUUUCCCUAUAUCUUUCCAUUUGGACAUGGUUUAAGACAUGAAAAAGUUAUGUGCAAUGUAUGGAAACAAAGCACUAUGGUAUUUUGAAUCAGUCAUUCCACCUUGGGGUGAAUACACUGUCAUUUGUCACAACUACAUAUGGGCCAAGGUCUUGGCAAGGCUCUUAUUGAAAAGCUUAUUAGGGCACUUCUACAAAGGGACAUUGGAAAUAUAACACUUUUUGCAGAUAGUCAAGUUGUGGAGUUCUAUCGGAAUUUAGGUUUUGAACCUGAUCCAGAGGGCAUUAA